CACCGUUCGUCAAACCCCAAGAAUUGGUUUCUCCCGAAUCAGCAUUGCACCAAUGAUCACCCAUGACUUCUUUGUACCACUAGUGCCACAAAGGCCUUUAAUUUGGUGGUCUUAUUGGCGCAUACCACGGUGGGGACUUUGAUCGGGGUGAAGUCGUAACAAGGUAGCCGUAGGGAAACCCGUGGCUG
rnacentral:rRNA from 1 species